UGUCCCUGGCCGCCUACACCCACUAUACAUCCACAAACCCGUGUGCACUGUCCUUGGAAAGGGCAUUUGGAGAGAAAAAGGAAGAGAAGCGAGAACAGUGCGAUCCGUCGCGUUGGGCGUUGAUCUCUGACUUGGUCUCUCUGAGGCCCUUUCCUCGCUACAAACUCGAAUGGUUAGUAUGAACGUGGAACUUGGUUGGACCGUCACUGGCCAACAAACUAUACACAACUUUCGACAACGGAUCUCUUGGUUCUUCCAUCGAUGAAGAACGCAGCGAAACGCGAUAGGUAAUGUGAAUUGCAGAAUUCCGUGAAUCAUCGAAUCUUUGAACGCACCUUGCGCUCUAUGGCAAUCCGUAGAGCAUGCCUGUUUGAGUGCCAUGAAAUCUCCCACCCCAAGCGGUUUUUAAAUGAAACGGCUUGGCGGAUGGGGUCUGGAUGGGUGCCUCUGCCUGCGCUACCUAGCACAGGCUCGCCCGAAAUGCAUGAGCGCCUUGAGACACUUUGCAUCCGCCUCUCUGUUUGGGAGGAGGCGGCCAAGCAGUGUUUUUCUCCUGGCAUGGCAUGAUACGUCAUUUGCUAUGUCACCUAAAGGAGGAAUGUUUGUUUUUCUCCUGGCAUGGCAUGAUACGUCAUUUGCUAUGUCACCUAAAGGAGGAAUGUUUGGUUGUGUCUGCGUGUGCUUCAAACUUGCCUCUGUGGCACAUCCC
rnacentral:rRNA from 1 species